rnacentral:rRNA from 1 species
ACGGGGUGCNNNNGGGGAGAAAACUUUGCAAUGUGCGAAAGCACGACAAGGUUAAUCCGAGUGAUUUCUGCUAAAGGAAUCUUUUGUUAGUUCUAAAAAUACUAGUGAAUAAGGGGUGGGCAAGUUCUGGUGUCAGCCGCCGCGGUAAAACCAGCACCUCAAGUGGUCAGGAGGAUUAUUGGGCCUAAAGCAUCCGUAGCCUGUUCUAUAAGUUUGCGGUUAAAUCUAUACGCUCAACGUAUAGGCUGCCGUAAAUACUGUAGAACUAGGGGGUGGGAGAGGUAGACGGUACUCGAUAGGAAGGGGUAAAAUCCUUUGAUCUAUUGAUGACCACCUGUGGCGAAGGCGGUCUACCAGAACACGUUCGACGGUGAGGGAUGAAAGCUGGGGGAGCAAACCGGAUUAGAUACCCGGGUAGUCCCAGCUGUAAACGAUGCAGACUCGAUGAUGCAUUGGCAUAUAGCCAGUGCAGUGUCGCAGGGAAGCCGUUAAGUCUGCCGCCUGGGAAGUACGUACGCAAGUAUGAAACUUAAAGGAAUUGGCGGGGGAGCAC